AGUCGAACGGCAGCACGGGAUGCUUGCACCUGGUAGAGCAGAGUGGCGAACGGGUGAGUAAUACAUCGGAACAUGUCCUGUAGUGGGGGAUAGCCCGGCGAAAGCCGGAUUAAUACCGCAUACGAUCCAUGGAUGAAAGCGGGGGACCUUCGGGCCUCGCGCUAUAGGGUUGGCCGAUGGCUGAUUAGCUAGUUGGUGGGGUAAAGGCCCACCAAGGCGACGAUCAGUAGCUGGUCUGAGAGGACGACCAGCCACACUGGGACUGAGACACGGCCCAGACUCCUACGGGAGGCAGCAGUGGGGAAUUUUGGACAAUGGGCGAAAGCCUGAUCCAGCAAUGCCGCGUGUGUGAAGAAGGCCUUCGGGUUGUAAAGCACUUUUGUCCGGAAAGAAAUCCUGAGGGCUAAUAUCCUUCGGGGAUGACGGUACUUGGAAGAAUCAGCACACGGCUAACUAGGUGCCAGCAUCCGCGGGAAUACGUAGGGUGUUAGCGUUGCUCCGAAUUACUGCGCGUAAAGCGCGCGCUGGGGGUGUGCC
rnacentral:rRNA from 1 species